rnacentral:misc_RNA from 1 species
GAUGAAGAACGUAGCGAAAUGCGAUAAGUAAUGUGAAUUGCAGAAUUCAGUGAAUCAUCGAAUCUUUGAACGCACAUUGCGCCCGCCAGUAUUCUGGCAGGCAUGCCUGUUCGAGCGUCAUUUCAACCAUCAAGCCCCCGGCUUGUGUUGGGGACCUGCGGCUGCCGCAGGCCCUGAAAACCAGUGGCGGGCUCGCUGUCACACCGAGCGUAGUAGAUUUUCAUCUCGCUCAGGGCGUGCUGCGGGUUCCGGCCGUAAAAAGCCUUAUUUACCCAAGGUUGACCUCGGAUCAGGUAGGAAGACCCGCUGAACUUAAGCAUAUCAAUAAGCGGAGGA